ACUCCUACGGGAGGCAGCAGUGGGGAAUAUUGGACAAUGGGCGCAAGCCUGAUCCAGCCAUGCCGCGUGAGUGAUGAAGGCCCUAGGGUUGUAAAGCUCUUUCACCGGUGAAGAUAAUGACGGUAACCGGAGAAGAAGCCCCGGCUAACUUCGUGCCAGCAGCCGCGGUAAUACGAAGGGGGCUAGCGUUGUUCGGAUUUACUGGGCGUAAAGCGCACGUAGGCGGACUAUUAAGUCAGGGGUGAAAUCCCGGGGCUCAACCCCGGAACUGCCUUUGAUACUGGUAGUCUUGAGUUCGAGAGAGGUGAGUGGAAUUCCGAGUGUAGAGGUGAAAUUCGUAGAUAUUCGGAGGAACACCAGUGGCGAAGGCGGCUCACUGGCUCGAUACUGACGCUGAGGUGCGAAAGCGUGGGGAGCAAACAGGAUUAGAAACCCGAGUAGUCCCA
rnacentral:rRNA from 1 species